UCCUCUUCCAUUUUUUAUCCCAUUUGGCGAGCAGCAGCUCCAAGAUUCAAGUAAACUAAUCCUGAAUCAAGAUUCAUGUUAGCGAGAUUGCUACCCCUCGUGAGAUAAUAUUCAUGUGCUCACACCAGCUACCCCUCGUGAGAUAAUAUUCAUGUGCUCACACCACCUCCAGCUUUCUCUGUCGUCCCUGCUCAGUGCUUGCGCUAGAGUUGCAGCCCAGGAGCCAGAAUUACUACAGCAACAUGGUGUCAUAGGAAUCUCAGCUCUUCUGAAGAAUCUUUGCAGAGAUGGGAAAAAGAACAUUUGAAGAAGAUAUGUGAUGCUUAUUAUCUUCCUGAAUGGUGUUCUGCUGCCGAUUAUGUUGAAAUACUCGAGUCUCUGACUUUUCAGCCAUGUCACGUAUAGAGACGGCAGCUAUUAGCCCCGUCUGGGAUGCUAUCAAAGGCUCGAUCUUUUUUUGUUGCACUCGUGCAGAUUACUUUGACGACUUGGCAAACAAUCUCAAUCACGCAAAACAUGAUAUUGGGCGACUGGAGAAAUGGAAGGAGAAUGUACUACAGAGGGCUCAAAAAGAAACCAAACCACAGAUGGAGCAGAAAUACGAAGUGACCGACUGGCUGGACAGAGUAAAUCACGUGCAGGAGGAUGCAAAGGAGAUUAUUAAAGAAGCUGACGAAGAAAUUCGUAACAAAGCUCUCAGAUGGUUCUGUCCCAAGAAGUGCUGCUCCUACAACAGGGUUGGAAAGAGAGUAAGUGAAAAGCGCAGAGAAGUGAAUCAACUUAUAGAGGCUGGUAAAUUUGAUGCUGUUGUCGAGAGAAAGUGUGGUGAUUUUGUGAUCCAGAUGCCUGUACCGAAAACUUUUGGGUUGGAAUCCAAACUUGAAAAAAUCUGGAGAUGGAUUGAAAACCCAAGUGUGGAAAUUAUUGGGUUAUAUGGAAUGGGAGGCGUGGGUAAAACCACCGUCCUCAGAAAGAUCUACAAUAAGAUCUGCGAAAAGAGUGAUUAUGUCGUGAUUUUUGUUGAGAGGUCUGAACAGGACCCAGUGAAAGCAGCCAAAGAAGCUAUUUGCAAAAAAAUUGAAAUCUCUCUGGAAAACUGGAUAAAUAAAGGUGAGGCAAUCAAUAAGGCGAUUUGGAACGCUUUGAGAAAGGAGAAAUUUGCUUUGAUGUUUGAUGGCGUAGGAAGGCAAUGGCAACAUCAACUCUUGGAAGAAAUCGGACUUCAUCUGAACGGCAAUGGGAAUGGGUCCAAAGUCAUUUUUACCACUCGGUCAAAAGAGUUAUGUGACAGGAUGAAAGCAAAAACAUUUGAAGUAGAUUGUUUGCCACCAGAAACUGCUCUACAAGUUCGUGUCCUGUGUGGGAGAGGACACUCUAAAUGUUAAUUGGAAGAUCCCAAAGCUGGCUGAUGAACUUGCUGAUGUGUGCAAGGGUUUGCCUCUUCUGCUCACCACUAUCGGUCAAGCCAUGGCUGGUAAGACCAAACCCCGCGAUUGGGAGCGUGCAAUUGAAAAAUUGAAUACUCAGCCGUCAUCAUUUCCAGAUGUUGAGGCUAGUGUCUUACCUGUUCUCAAGAUAAGCUAUGACAGCUUGAGCACAGAUAACCUCAGGAAAUGCUUUCUGUACUUUUCGUUGUUCCCAGGAGUUGAUAAUAUUAAGAAAAUGGAACUGACUGAACUCUGGAUCGCAGAAGGGUUUCUAGAUCAAUCUAAUAGCACGUAUGAAGCCAGGGAAGAAGGAGAAGAUGCUUUAGGAAGUCUAAAGAGUGCGAGUUUGUUGGAGAGUGGUAAAUCAGAAGAUUUUGUUAAAAUGCAUGAUGUGAUUCAAGCAAUGACCUUGUGGCUAGCUCGUGAGGAGGGAAAGGCAGAGGACAAAGUGUUGGUGCGGGAAAAAACACCACAGCUUUCAAAGUGGAUUAACGCAGAAAGGAUAUCAUUGUGUGGUGCCAGCUUCGAAUCUCUCCCUGAGGCACCUUCUUGCCAUCAUCUUACAACGUUGCUUCUCAGGGCUACUAAUUUGAAGAUACUGCCAAGUGAAUUCUUUCAAUCUAUGCCUGCUUUAAAAGUUUUGGACUUGUCAGAUAAUGAAGGCUUAAUUGAGCUACCUGUGGGCAUUGGAAAUUUGACGAACUUGCGUUAUCUAAAUUUGUCAGGGACUUGUAUAGAAAUAUUGCCAAUGGAGGUUCAGAAUUUGAAGAAGUUGCAGUCUUUGAUAUUGGAUAGGACACCGCCCCUGCUAACUAUCCCAAUGGGCGUGAUUUCUAGUCUUUCAUCAUUGCAGGCUUUUAGGAGGGUAUUUGAUCAGAUUUUGAUUCUUAAUUCUCCACUAGAUGAUGAAGUAGAGCUUCUAAAGGAGUUGGAAUCCUUGGAACACAUAGAUGAGAUUGGUAUAUUUUUAUCAUAUGCAAGUUUCGUGCAAAAAGUAUUGGACAGUGACACCCACAAGUUGCGAAGACGCAUAAAACAGCUGCAACUAGUACAGGGCACAGAUCAUCCACCAAAACUCUCUCUAAGAGGGAUGGAGCAUUUGGAGAGACUUGAAUUAUUGAAGUGCUCGUCCUUGACAGAGGUUGAAAUUGUCAAAGAAAUAAUCAGCAGGAGCCUCAGGGUUCUGAUAUCAAUGUUUCCCCCGACCACCGCUGGAGAAAAAUGCAGGAAUCGUUUCCCAACCUCCGUAUUGUGAGGAUCUGCGACUGUCCAAUAAAGAACGUGACGUGCCUCCUAAAUGUCCCGAGCCUUCAAUCUCUGAAAUUAAGUGGCUGCAAUGAAAUUAUUGAAGUAAUAAGUGAAGAUCAUGGGCAAGAUGUAUUCAGAAAUCUGGAGAAAUUAUCAUUGAAACGCUUACCAAGUCCAUCUACUGCCGACCCCUACAAUUUUUUUCCCUUGCGAAGCUAGUUGUAUUUGAUUGCCCAAACCUACGAAGCCUUCCAUUUGAUUCCAACAGCGCAACAAAAUUAAGACAAGUUAAAGGAAGCGGAAGCUGGUGGAACAAUUUGCUGUGGGAGCCGGUUGUCACUAAACAUGCUUUCUGCAGAAAAUUCAGGGACAAAGAUGACGUUGCGGAGCUUGUGAAGUCUUACAAGGUUUACAAUCCUCACACGACUCCAUAUUACUAUUGCUAUAAUAUUGAAGAAGCCCCGAAUGCUUGUGUUAUCCAGUAAUUAUUAGAUCUCCCAGAAAAUAUAUAUUAGAAUGUGAAGGUUCGGUGUUCAUCUCCUCUUGUUUGUUGGUGAAGCUCAGGGGAUUCUGCGGCUAUUAAAUUAGCAAAAACAAUGGGUUGUGCUUGCGCAGGCAAUUGCUUCAUCAGUUUUGAAAGAGCCUCCAGUACAUAAAGUUUGGGCAAUUCAGGCAAUUGUGCAGCUGCUCAUCUUCAGCCAAGUUACCUUCUCUCAUGUAAAAAGGCUAACGCAGCUGCUCAUCAUCUUGCAAAACUUGGUUUUCUUAAUCAACUUCCAUGUAAUUGACUUCUUGUUUGUCCUGAUUCCCUAUCUUCUAUUUGUAUUUUUCAUGCUCACAUGGCCUCGUAAUACAUUUUCUUGCCAUUCAAAAAAAACAAAAAAUGUUGUGACCUUUAUAUGUUUUAUCGAACUUUCUGAAUCUUCUUAAUUUUAGGCCAUCAUUGGCAUUAUGAUUAUAGCU